AGUGAACGCUGGCGGUAGGCCUAACACAUGCAAGUCGAACGGCAGCACAGUAAGAGCUUGCUCUUACGGGUGGCGAGUGGCGGACGGGUGAGGAAUACAUCGGAAUCUACUUUUUCGUGGGGGAUAACGUAGGGAAACUUACGCUAAUACCGCAUACGACCUACGGGUGAAAGCUGGGGAUCUUCGGACCUUGCGCGAUUGAAUGAGCCGAUGUCGGAUUAGCUAGUUGGCGGGGUAAAGGCCCACCAAGGCGACGAUCCGUAGCUGGUCUGAGAGGAUGAUCAGCCACACUGGAACUGAGACACGGUCCAGACUCCUACGGGAGGCAGCAGUGGGGAAUAUUGGACAAUGGGCGCAAGCCUGAUCCAGCCAUACCGCGUGGGUGAAGAAGACCUUCGGGUUGUAAAGCCCUUUUGUUGGGAAAGAAAAGCAGCAGGUUAAUACCCCGCUGUUCUGACGGUACCCAAAGAAUAAGCACCGGCUAACUUCGUG
rnacentral:rRNA from 1 species